rnacentral:lncRNA from 1 species
ACCUCUUCAAUACAUUUCUGCAAUGCUUUUUCAGGGGUCACAGAUAAUUAUAGCCGUCAAGGGGCUAUUGUGUCGACGCCCAGGAAGCUCCAGAGGGCAUUGUGACGACGUGAUGGAAAGCUCCAAAUGA